CUUUCACGAUAGCCGAGAUAUGGCAUUUUUGAUGCCCAUUUUUGGCCUCAAAAACGGACGUCGAAAACGACAUUUUCAGGAUUUUCAAAGUGCUCUCAUUCCCUUAGUUCUGCUCGGAUCCUGGUAUAACCCGGUGUUUUCGUAAUCUAGGUAACCCAAAUAAGACGCUGGUAUACUUAGUUUGAUUUCGAAAAAAAUCAAUUUUGGGUGAAAAAAUUCGAUACGGGGGGGUAUACCCGAGAAAUGAAAAUUUCCAAACUUUGAAGGUCGAUAUCUCGGCUUCUGUGGGAGCUAUCGGGAAAAUUCCAACGGUUUUGUCUUAGUUUCAUCGUUCUGAAUCCAACGAGACUAUCCGCAAAGUCGUAGCUUUUACGAUAGCCGAGAUAUGGCAUUUUUGAUGCCCAUUUUUGGCCUCAAAAACGGACGUCGAAAACGACUUUUUCAGGAUUUUCAAAGUGCUCU